AAUAACCAAAUAUAAUAGUUGGACUAAGUCAAAUUGGUAAUUUUUCUUGCAUGUCCCUUUGGAGCCCAGGUAUCACAUAUACCCCCAAAAUAAAAAGCCUUGAAGACUAGAAGAAAAUCCCCCUAUACCUAACAAGAUUAAGUGAAUACCCAAAAGUGUAGUCAUUUUAUUACGCCCUGAG
rnacentral:antisense_RNA from 1 species